rnacentral:rRNA from 1 species
CCUGGCUCAGGAUGAACGCUAGCUACAGGCUUAACACAUGCAAGUCGAGGGGCAGCAUGGUCUUAGCUUGCUAAGGCCGAUGGCGACCGGCGCACGGGUGAGUAACACGUAUCCAACCUGCCGUCUACUCUUGGACAGCCUUCUGAAAGGAAGAUUAAUACAAGAUGGCAUCAUGAGUCCGCAUGUUCACAUGAUUAAAGGUAUUCCGGUAGACGAUGGGGAUGCGUUCCAUUAGAUAGUAGGCGGGGUAACGGCCCACCUAGUCUUCGAUGGAUAGGGGUUCUGAGAGGAAGGUCCCCCACAUUGGAACUGAGACACGGUCCAAACUCCUACGGGAGGCAGCAGUGAGGAAUAUUGGUCAAUGGGCGAGAGCCUGAACCAGCCAAGUAGCGUGAAGGAUGACUGCCCUAUGGGUUGUAAACUUCUUUUAUAAAGGAAUAAAGUCGGGUAUGGAUACCCGUUUGCAUGUACUUUAUGAAUAAGGAUCGGCUAACUCCGUGCCAGCAGUCGCGGUAAUACGGAGGAUCCGAGCGUUAUCCGGAUUUAUUGGGUUUAAAGGGAGCGUAGAUGGAUGUUUAAGUCAGUUGUGAAAGUUUGCGGCUCAACCGUAAAAUUGCAGUUGAUACUGGAUAUCUUGAGUGCAGUUGAGGCAGGCGGAAUUCGUGGUGUAGCGGUGAAAUGCUUAGAUAUCACGAAGAACUCCGAUUGCGAAGGCAGCCUGCUAAGCUGCAACUGACAUUGAGGCUCGAAAGUGUGGGUAUCAAACAGGAUUAGAUACCCUGGUAGUCCACACGGUAAACGAUGAAUACUCGCUGUUUGCGAUAUACUGCAAGCGGCCAAGCGAAAGCGUUAAGUAUUCCACCUGGGGAGUACGCCGGCAACGGUGAAACUCAAAGGAAUUGACGGGGGCCCGCACAAGCGGAGGAACAUGUGGUUUAAUUCGAUGAUACGCGAGGAACCUUACCCGGGCUUAAAUUGCAGAUGAAUUACGGUGAAAGCCGUAAGCCGCAAGGCAUCUGUGAAGGUGCUGCAUGGUUGUCGUCAGCUCGUGCCGUGAGGUGUCGGCUUAAGUGCCAUAACGAGCGCAACCCUUGUUGUCAGUUACUAACAGGUUCCGCUGAGGACUCUGACAAGACUGCCAUCGUAAGAUGUGAGGAAGGUGGGGAUGACGUCAAAUCAGCACGGCCCUUACGUCCGGGGCUACACACGUGUUACAAUGGGGGGUACAGAGGGCCGCUACCACGCGAGUGGAUGCCAAUCCCCAAAACCUCUCUCAGUUCGGACUGGAGUCUGCAACCCGACUCCACGAAGCUGGAUUCGCUAGUAAUCGCGCAUCAGCCACGGCGCGGUGAAUACGUUCCCGGGCCUUGUACACACCGCC